rnacentral:rRNA from 1 species
UAGGGAAUCUUCCACAAUGGACGCAAGUCUGAUGGAGCAACGCCGCGUGAGUGAAGAAGGUUUUCGGACCGUAAAGCUCUGUUGUUGGUGAAGAAGGAUAGAGGUAGUAACUGGCCUUUAUUUGACGGUAAUCAACCAGAAAGUCACGGCUAACUACGUGCCAGCAGCCGCGGUAAUACGUAGGUGGCAAGCGUUGUCCGGAUUUAUUGGGCGUAAAGCGAGCGCAGGCGGAAGAAUAAGUCUGAUGUGAAAGCCCUCGGCUUAACCGAGGAAUUGCAUCGGAAACUGUUUUCUUGAGUGCAGAAGAGGAGAGUAGAACUCCAUGUGUAGCGGUGGAAUGCGUAGAUAUAUGGAAGAAUACCAGUGGCGAAGGCGGCUCUCUGGUCUGCAAUUGACGCUGAGGCUCGAAAGCAUGGGUAGCGAACAGGAUUAGAUACCCUGGUAGUCCAUGCCGUAAACGAUGAGUGCUAAGUGUUGGGAGGCUUCCGCCUCUCAGUGCUGCAGCUAACGCAUUAAGCACUCCGCCUGGGGGAGUACGACCGCAAGGUUGAA